GGGUUCACAAUCACCGACGCCGAAGACUCCCUUCCUCCUCUGACGGUGGACCUGAUCGGAGGCUGACAGAGGUGCUGGCUGGUUGUAGGUUUCCUUUUCCCGAGCCUAGACUUGAUCUUCUGUCACGUCUCUGGAGAUCGACAAGGAUUUGGAUGCGAGUAUAAGUAGAACAUGGGUGGCUGCAGUAUGGUGGGAGAUUUUUGGAUAAACUUGAGGAUAGGGAUUCGGAUUCAGGACGAGCACUUCGACAUAGAGGUUGAUUAGCUCGAUCUACAUCGGAAG